UACGGAGGGGACUAGCGUUGUUCGGAAUUACUGGGCGUAAAGCGCACGUAGGCGGCUUUGUAAGUCAGGGGUGAAAUCCUGGAGCUCAACUCCAGAACUGCCUUUGAUACUGAAGAUCUUGAGUUCGGGAGAGGUGAGUGGAACUGCGAGUGUAGAGGUGAAAUUCGUAGAUAUUCGCAAGAACACCAGUGGCGAAGGCGGCUCACUGGCCCGAUACUGACGCUGAGGCACGAAAGCGUGGGGAGCAAACAGG
rnacentral:rRNA from 1 species